CCGACGAUGCGUAGGGGUUCUGAGAGGAAGGUCCCCCACACUGGUACUGAGACACGGACCAGACUCCUACGGAAGGCAGCAG
rnacentral:rRNA from 1 species